CAAAACUGUAUAAUUUAUAUGUAAUAGAUAAUUUUCUUUGGGCCGAUCUCCAUAGAAAUGAUGGUCCCGUCUCCACAACAUCUUCACAUUGUUAGGGUUCGUCAUUGAAGGUAUGGUUCCGUAUACCAUCAAUGGCGAUUCUGAAAUUGCGUGUGCGUUGACUCUUUCUCAGUAAUCUCAAAGUCAGUGGUAUCUCUUCAUGUCGUUUUGGUCUCUAUUCUUAACCUCGGAACUGUUACCAAUCGAAUUGAUUGAACGCCAUUAACAAAAGCGUAACUCUUCAUGCCCACUACAACCACGAUCUUGCAUUCAAUGAUUCUUAUCCUUCAUCCAGGCGGUGAUUAUCUCCUAUAAAAUGGUAAGCAUUCAGCCGUAGAGCAGCAUCCUCACAGUUCCUGAUAUAUCAAGGUGUAAAGUUACCUCAUCUAUUCUGUUCAGAUUCUGGGAACUAAAGUUGUUCCUUUCUUCAAACACAAGAUGAAUCGUAUUUUUAAACAUAUUACGUUUGUUGAUUCGGUUUGUUGAUUUUUUAGUCUCAAUAUUUGUUUCACCCAUAGAUUCAAUUUUGUUUGUUGAUUAGGUUUUUUGGGCUUCUCCUCCCUAGAUCUUUGGUUGAAGUUGAUGAAUUAGAUUCCAGCAAUCAAAGCAUUGUAUCAAGUUAAGCCAACCUUAAAUCUCAUUGGAAAGUUGCGAGUUUUUAGUUUAAUAUUCUAAUAAUCUGUCUCUUAUACUUCUUCUGUGUAGACUGAUCUUGAAACAAAAACUAUUAGACAUAGUAGAAAGCAAGAGCUGAUGUCUCGACAUGGCACUAUAUUUUUUUGUAACUUUCAUUUAUAUCAGUUUUAGUUUGUGAGGGCAGUAAUCAGAAGAGAGAUCAUGAACAAGGUGUUGAAAACGAGUGUGACUGCUUUGGUGGAGCUCAAUAUGCUCAAGAAUUUCACUGGCACUCUGCUGUUGCAGGCUCUUUAGGUGGAUUCAGUGCUCACACCAGAAACAUAGUUCUUGAUGUAUUCAUAGCUAUUUGCCAAUAUCCAGCUCAAAACAUGGAGAGCUAUCAAUGCAUCAAUGAUGGAAACCAUUAACGGGAAAUAUAUCCGUGUCUCUAUCACUACGCCAACUACUCAGGCUGGGACAGUGGGAGGAGGAACGCAGCUUCCGUCUCAGUCGGUGUAGUCAAACCUGCUAAGCGUUAAAGGAGCUACAACAAUUUGAUCUUAAUCUUGCCUUUUCAAAAAGAUUGAGCGUUUCAACAAUGUGGGAAACACAGAGCGUCAAAGUAUGUACCAUUGCCUUUUCAAGUUGGAGAAAGCAAGAGCAUGUAAAUUUUAUACAUUCCAAAACCAAAAAAACAGCUUAAUUUGGAUUAUACAUGUAUAUCCUAUGAAAAUAUAUUUAUCGUAACACACAUAUAUUUAUUCUUGA